rnacentral:lncRNA from 1 species
UAGCUUUGUGGUGAGAACAUUUAUAAAUUCUCUCUUAACUAUUUUGAAAUACAUCAUAAAUUAUCAUUAGCUAUAGUCAGCGUGUUUUACAAUGGUCUCAUAUACUCAUUCCUCCUAACUAAAACUUUGUACACUUUGAUGAGCAUUUCCUCAUCUCCCCACCCCCACCCCAGCCUCUGGAAACCACCAUUCUAUUCUCUACUUCUGAGAGUUUCACUUGAAAUUUUUAUUGGUGUACAUUAAUUGUACAGAGUAAUGGAUUCCAUUGCAGCAUAUUCAUACAUGCAAAUAAUCUGAUCAAUUUCACUCCUUAAUACCUCUCCUUGCCUUCCCUCUUCCCUCCCCUGAUCCUCUUCCUCUGUCCAUGAUUUCCUUCUACUUUUCACAAGAGAUUUCUUUUUUACCCUCUAGCUUCCAUAUAUGAGAGAAAAUAUAUGACCCUUGUUUUUCUGAGUCUGGCUUAUAUCACUUAACAUAAUUCUCUCCAGUUCCAUCUGUUUUCUUGCAAAUGACAUAAUUUUGUUCUAUUUUAUAAAACUCCUUUAGUUCCUUUGGAUAAACACUGAGAAGUGGUAUGGCUAUGGUUGUUCCAUGUUUAGUUUUUUGAGGAACCUCUGUACUAUUUCCAUGGUAGCUGGACUGAUUUAUAGUAUCACCUUCCUCCCACACAUGCUUGCCAGCAUAUAUAUAUAUAUA